rnacentral:rRNA from 1 species
AGAGUUUGAUCAUGGCUCAGGAUGAACGCUAGCUACAGGCUUAACAACAUGCAAGUCGAGGGGAAACGGACAUCGAAAGCUUGCUUUUGAUGGGCGUCGACCGGCGCACGGGUGAGUAACGCGUAUCCAACCUGCCCACCACUUGGGGAUAACCUUGCGAAAGUAAGACUAAUACCCAAUGACGUCUCUAGAAGACAUCUGAAAGAGAUUAAAGAUUUAUCGGUGAUGGAUGGGGAUGCGUCUGAUUAGCUUGUUGGCGGGGUAACGGCCACCAAGGCGACGAUCAGUAGGGGUUCUGAGAGGAAGGUCCCCANACUUGGAACUGAGACACGGUCCAAACUCCUACGGGAGGCAA